GCCGGCAUGGUGUAGUGGCCUGAGUGUUGGACUACUACUCUGGAGCCCAGGGUUCAAAUCCCUAUUCAGUCA